rnacentral:lncRNA from 1 species
UUUACUAAUUAUCUCCUGGGAGGGGAUAACCUUAGUACUGAUGUUCCUUAACGGGUUUGAAAUUUUAUUCAUAAAAUAAAUAUAUAUAAAUUAACAUUUUUAUAACAGUACGGUGUGACCCUAAUCAUCAUUGCUGGUUCGUGUUUCUUGUUAAAAUAACUAUUUCGCCCCGUAGCUCAGUGAAUAUUACCACUGAUAAUAAAUAAAAAUAUAGUCUUAUAUUACAUAAGAAUAUAAGAAUAUCUCUUUUAUUACAUUUUUUUUUAAUUUUCUAAUUUAAAUUUUGUUGUAAAAAAAUAGAGCAUUGUUGUACCCAAGGAAAAUACCUUUGCACAAAUAAUUUAUGCUUUCAAGGCUUCAAGAUAAUUAUAACAUUAUUGUAAAAGAAAUACGAUGCUAAUGAAUAAUAAAAACAAUGAGUGAUAUUAAUAAACUCGUGAACUGUAAAACAAAUGAAACAUUUUUCCGUUCACCUGUAAAAUUCACAGUACAAUUUCAAUGAACAAAAUAUCGGUAUCCGCAACCAUUUUUACUACAACCGAUAAUCAUUUUUUUCCGAUUCAUUUGCAAUAUAUAAGUUGUAAAGGAAAAAAUUGUUGAAAAACCAAUUAUCUUAUACUCAAACAAUCUUCAGUGGUAGUUCAUUUUUUACUUGUUCUCUCUACGUGAGAUAUUUAAAUCAAUUGUUUCGAAUCUUCCCACGGCCCACUUACGCCUAGCUUAUAUUAUAAUGAAGAAACCGCUUUAUCCGUCAAAUCCUGUAUGUUGUGACAACGUGUUGUUACUUGACUGUGAAACGGCGACGACGGAAUACCAGAAAACCGGUUACCACUACGAAAUCCAACACGCAUGCGGAACUCAAUUUAUCAAGUCCGUUUAUUUCAUCGGUUCGCUCUGGUCUUGGUUUUAGUUAUCAUGUAUCAGUCUUUUAAAAAACGGACCGUGCAGAGCUCAAGUACUCGUAUACAGCUGCCACACCACACCUUUUAAUAGAAUUUGUAUUUAUAUAUAAUGUAAAAUCGGUGUCCGGUAUCCGUUUUCAGCACAGCAAGAAGCGUUGCGAUCCGGUUGACGCAUCAGCGGAACGUUGCGUAAUGGACAGUAUGGCCCAAUGGACACUAUGGCCAUCUGCAUUCAUAUCAAUGCGUUUUGUUUUUAUCGUUUAAAGGUCCGUUUUCACAGUACCGAUAGAAACGGAUGGCUGGGCAAAAAGUAGUUGUAAGUGUAUUUUCCAGAAAAAUAAUAAAGAAAUGUCGUUGUUAUUAUGCAAGUUGUAAAUACACUAUGUCAUUUAUUUAUACUAAUAUAUACGUGUACGCUAAUAAAUAAUAUUCAAAAUUUGUAUUUUAAUUUAUAAAUAUUGUUAUCACGUUACACUACAGUCAUCAAGUACAUUGCAUAAGAAAAAAAAAAAUUAGAACUUCGUCAAUGUUCUCAUGAUAUAAUAGACUGUAAGUAUGAUGUCAACAGUCGUGUUUUAGUCUCACGUCGCGCGAAUAUGGCGCUAAUUUUCCAUCACCUCUCAUUGGUCCAUCUAUUAUCAUGACUUAAAACCCUUUCGGCGGUAACCGAAUAUUUAGUUUUUAUCAAAACUUUUUUAGUGUUCAUUAAAAAUGUCCUCGUUAUUAAUCUUCAAUAAAUGUUAUUAUUUAAAAUGUGUACAUUUUCUCUUAUUUGCGGCAUGAAAUUAUUAAUCAAGUUCGUGUAAUCAUGUUUGACAAUAAUUUGACGUGUUAUCGGAGUCUGCGCUUAGUUACAAUAAUAUAAAGUAAAACGAAUGAAAAACGGCGAAAGUCUUGCGCCAUAUUGCACCAUUGAAGUAACUGGUGGCUGAAGUAUAAAUUUAAAGGUAUAAAGAUACGCAUGUAUGCUUAUCACAAAACAGUGCAUCAUACUUAGUUUUUUACAUCAUGAUAUAUUGUUCUAAUGUACCCAAUUAUUUUGUUACCGAUUGAUAACGGUGUGUUAUGUAAUGUGAUAAGAAUUAUUUUUCGAAUUUUCGGGGUAAUCAUGUUCUUGUGGGCUGUGCGCUGUGUAACCGUACGUUAAUCUCUGUAUAGACUGUAGACCGAUAUAGUAAACGAAAAUAUUAAAUAAUAAUA